AUUGAACGCUGGCGGCAGGCCUAACACAUGCAAGUCGAGCGAGGGGCGGGCGGGUGAGGAAUGGGUGGGAAACUGGCUGAGGGAGGGGGAUAAGUACUGGAAACGGUAGCUAAUAACGAGUAAGAUCAGAUGGGCACAGGAGGGAUUAGCUAGUAGGUGGGGUAACGGCUCACCUAGGCGACGAUCCCUAGCUGGUCUGAGAGGAUGACCAGCCACACUGGAACUGAGACACGGUCCAGACUCCUACGGGAGGCAGCAGUGGGGAAUAUUGCACAAUUGGCGCAAGCCUGAUGCAGCCAUCCCGCGUGUGUGAUGAAGGCCUUCGGGUUGUAAAGCACUUUCAGCGGGGAGGCGUUACCCGCAGAAGAAGCACCGGCUAACUCCGUGCCAGCAGCCGCGGUAAUUC
rnacentral:rRNA from 1 species